GAUGAACGCUGGCGGCGUGCCUAAUACAUGCAAGUCGAGCGAACAGACGAGGAGCUUGCUCCUCUGACGUUAGCGGCGGACGGGUGAGUAACACGUGGAUAACCUACCUAUAAGACUGGGAUAACUUCGGGAAACCGGAGCUAGUACCGGAUAAUAUAUUGAACCGCAUGGUUCAAUAGUGAAAGACGGUUUUGCUGUCACUUAUAGAUGGAUCCGCGCCGCAUUAGCUAGUUGGUAAGGUAACGGCUUACCAAGGCAACGAUGCGUAGCCGACCUGAGAGGGUGAUCGGCCACACUGGAACUGAGACACGGUCCAGACUCCUACGGGAGGCAGCAGUAGGGAAUCUUCCGCAAUGGGCGAAAGCCUGACGGAGCAACGCCGCGUGAGUGAUGAAGGUCUUCGGAUCGUAAAACUCCGUUAUUAGGGAAGAACAAAUGUGUAAGUAACUAUGCACGUCUUGACGGUACCUAAUCAGAAAGCCACGGCUAACUACGUG
rnacentral:rRNA from 1 species